AGCGAACGCUGGCGGCAGGCUUAACACAUGCAAGUCGAACGCCCGUAGCAAUACGGGAGUGGCAGACGGGUGAGUAACGCGUGGGAACAUGCCCUUUGGUUCGGAAUAACUCAGGGAAACUUGAGCUAAUACCGGAUAAGCCCGAGAGGGGAAAGAUUUAUCGCCGAAGGAUUGGCCCGCGUCCGAUUAGCUAGUUGGUGAGGUAAUGGCUCACCAAGGCGACGAUCGAUAGCUGGUCUGAGAGGAUGAUCAGCCACACUGGGACUGAGACACGGCCCAGACUCCUACGGGAGGCAGCAGUGGGGAAUAUUGGACAAUGGGGGCAACCCUGAUCCAGCCAUGCCGCGUGAGUGAUGAAGGCCCUAGGGUUGUAAAGCUCUUUCGGCGGGGACGAUAAUGACGGUACCCGCAGAAGAAGCCCCGGCUAACUUCGUGCCAGCAGCCGCCGUAA
rnacentral:rRNA from 1 species